rnacentral:rRNA from 1 species
UACGUAGGGUGCGAGCGUUGUCCGGAAUUACUGGGCGUAAAGCGCGUGUAGGCGGCAGGGCAUGUCGGAUGUGAAAUCCCGUGGCUCAACCACGGAAGUGCACCCGAAACUGCCCAGCUUGAGUCUCGGAGAGGAAGGCGGAAUGCUUGGUGUAGAGGUGAAAUUCGUAGAUAUCAAGCGGAACACCGGUGGCGAAGGCGGCCUUCUGGACGAUGACUGACGCUGAGACGCGAAAGCGUGGGGAGCAAACAGG